rnacentral:rRNA from 1 species
AUGAAGCUGGAAUCGCUAGUAAUCGUAGAUCAGCAUGCUACGGUGAAUACGUUCCCGGGUCUUGUACACACCGCCCGUCACACCACGAGAGUUUGUAACACCCGAAGCCGGUGGAGUAACCUUUUAGGAGCUAGCCGUCGAAGGUGGGACAAAUGAUUGGGGUGAAGUCGUAACAAGGUAGCCGUAUCGGAAGGUGCGGCUGGAUCACCUCCUUU